AUUGAACGCUGGCGGCAGGCCUAACACAUGCAAGUCGAGCGAGCGGCGGACGGGUGAGUAAUGUAUGGGGACUGCCCGAUAGAGGGGGAUAACUACUGGAAACGGUGGCUAAUACCGCAUACUAUCGGAUAACCCAUAUGGGAUUAGCUAGUAGGUGGGGUAAAGGCUAACCUAGGCGACGAUCUCUAGGUGGCCUGAGAGGGUGAUAAGCCACACUGGGACUGAGAAACGGCCCAGACUCGUACGGAGGCAGCAGUGGGGAAGAUUGCGCAAUGGGCGAAAGCCUGAUGCAGCCAUGCCGCGUGUAUGAAGAAGGCCUUAGGGUUGUAAAGUACUUUCAGCUGGGAGGCGUUACCCGCAGAAGAAGCACCGGCUAACUCCGUGCCAGCCGCCGCGGUAAUUC
rnacentral:rRNA from 1 species